GAUGAACGCUGGCGGCGUGCCUAAUACAUGCAAGUCGAGCGAACAGAUAAGGAGCUUGCUCCUUUGACGUUAGCGGCGGACGGGUGAGUAACACGUGGAUAACCUACCUAUAAGACUGGGAUAACUUCGGGAAACCGGAGCUAAUACCGCAUGAUACCUGAGGGUCAAAGGCGCAAGUCGCCUGUGGAGGAGCCUGCGUUCGAUUAGCUUGUUGGUGGGGUAAUGGCCUACCAAGGCGAUGAUCGAUAGCUGGUCUGAGAGGAUGAUCAG
rnacentral:rRNA from 1 species